rnacentral:rRNA from 1 species
AUUGAACGCUGGCGGCAUGCCUUACACAUGCAAGUCGAACGGCAGCACGGGGGCAACCCUGGUGGCGAGUGGCGAGCGGGUGAGUAAUACAUCGGAACGUGCCCAGUCGUGGGGGAUAACGUAGCGAAAGUUACGCUAAUACCGCAUACGAUCUCUGGAUGAAAGCGGGGGACCGCAAGGCCUCGCGCGAUUGGAGCGGCCGAUGGCAGAUUAGGUAGUUGGUGGGGUAAAAGCUUACCAAGCCUCCGAUCUGUAGCUGGUCUGAGAGGACGAUCAGCCACACUGGGACUGAGACACGGCCCAGACUCCUACGGGAGGCAGCAGUGGGGAAUUUUGGACAAUGGGCGAAAGCCUGAUCCAGCAAUGCCGCGUGCAGGACGAAGGCCUUCGGGUUGUAAACUGCUUUUGUACGGAGCGAAACGGCUUCCACUAAUACUGGGGGCUAAUGACGGUACCGUAAGAAUAAGCACCGGCUAACUACGUGCCAGCCGCCGCCGUAA